AGCAUAUCAGAAGGCACACCCGGAGAACUGAAACAUCUUAGUACCCGGAGGAAGAGAAAGAAAAUUCGAUUCCCUUAGUAGCGGCGAGCGAAACGGGAAGAGCCCAAACCAACAAGCUUGCUUGUUGGGGUUGUAGGACACUCUAUACGGAGUUACAAAGGACGACAUUAGACGAAUCAUCUGGAAAGAUGAAUCAAAGAAGGUAAUAAUCCUGUAGUCGAAAAUGUUGUCUCUCUUGAGUGGAUCCUGAGUACGACGGAGCACGUGAAAUUCCGUCGGAAUCUGGGAG
rnacentral:rRNA from 1 species